rnacentral:misc_RNA from 1 species
UACAAACUGGUUGUUGCCCUCAGCUUUGGAUGUACAAUGUUGACUGAUUUGCUUUGAUCUUGGAAAAAUGUUUGAAUAUUAAUAUUUUACAGACGACAACAAAGACUUCAAUUCAUAAAGGGAAAUUUUAAUUAAUUUAUUUUUUUUAAUUUCACAUGAGUGAUGGGUUAGCACUAGCAGUCACUGGUUCUGCUAGAGCUUUGUCUGCACUCGAUUCCCAUUUUUCCUCUUUGCUUUGUUCAAUAGGGAAAAGAAAGGAAGGAACAGAGAGGAAGAGGGAGAGAUCGAGAUGGGUCAUCAUCUUCUUCACUUGAACCUUACAACUAUCUCUCCUUCUGCUUCUUUCAAAUCUUCUAAUUCAUUGUUUCCAUGUAAUCAUCCCCAAAUUCCCACCAAUUCUUUUCACUUGCCCUCUCUCUCGAAGUCAUCAGGCCAUAAAAUCUCUUGGAUCCAAAAGCUGCCCAGAAUUGCUACUGCCACUAUCAAGUGCUCUGCUAAGAUUGAAAAUAGCUCUGCAGCUGUGAAAGAGAAGAGUGUUUCGGUCAUUCUGUUGGCUGGAGGAAAGGGCAAAAGAAUGGGUGUAUGUUCUUUGUUAUUAGCCUUUAAUUCUUGUUUUAUACUAUGGCAUUUUAGGAAAGUUAUAUUCCAUUCCAUCGCCCUUUUGUGUUUUUCAGUUGUACUCGCAUGUUGCACCGUGAAUGACCAUAUCCUUAAAUUGUUCUAUAAAACACAAAUGCUAAUGCAAUGAUUCAAUUCUGAUGGCUACUCUAAAGUUAAUGCAAUGGUGUAAUGGGACUAGCUUGAUGAAUAUACAUGUUCUUGCUUAUAUGUUGGGGUUCAGAUUCAGAGAAAAACAAAAGCUUGGGGAUUCAUAAAUUGAACUGAUGUUGUGUGUAUGGAUAUUUGAGGGUUCAAAAGUGGUUAUUUGGUGGCUGGAAUAUUGGGUUUCAUUGCAGGAUUUAUUAGGCCAGCAUUGAGAUCUAGGAUUUGUAUGACUGAUUUGAUUAUUGGAGGAGGAAUUAGAAACAUAUGUGGGAAUUGGGUUUAUAGUGGUCUAAUGAUGGGAUGAGCUUAGGUUAGAAUGAGGGAAAGGUCGAAUUUGAUGGUUAUUAGUUGCUGUGGUAGUACUCGGUUCACAGCAGCAGGCAGCCUUUGAAAGAAAGAGAAUUAGAGAAAAAGAAAGCGAUAGAGAGGGAGGAGGAAAGAAAUCACACUAUACACUCAUGGCUUCCCAAAAAAAAGAAGAAAAGGAUAGUAUUUUGUUCUUGUGUUUAAUUGUAGGUGUCUGUUAUUAUGUGAUUAUAUGCACAAUUGUUUGAGUAUAAUGCAAGUACAUAUUUUCUUUUACAUUACAAAUUGCCACUUUCUUUAUUAUCCAUAGUUACUUACUUUCAUCUUCCAGAUGACAGUUUUGUUAUCUUUGUGCGAAUAGGCUAGCAUGCCAAAGCAAUAUCUACCCCUGUUAGGCCAGCCAAUUGCUUUAUACAGGUAAAUGGCAGCAACUUAUAUCUAAAUAUACCAUUCAGAUUAUUGAGAAAGCUUGGAAUCAUUCUAAAGGACUUGUGGAAACUAAAUAACCUAAAGUUUGGGAACAAAUUAUCAUAUUAAACUUUAAAAAGAAUGAGAUACAUAGAUUUAUGGGUCUCUUAGAAGGUAAUGAGUGACAUGCAUAGAUUUAUGGGGUCUCUUGGAAGAUAAUAAGUUUGAUUGGAAAAUAAAUGUAUUAAUUGAAAUAUUGUUCAACCAGAACUUGAAUAAUUGAAUGAAAUCUGAUGGUUCUUUUUAUUAGAAACACUGAUAGAUUAUUUAGAUUUUGUACCAUGCCAUGUUAUUGCUACGAGCAGUUAGUUAUGAUGUGGGAGUUCUCCUUGUUGGGACUACCAAUUUAGGUUUCCUUGUGUGGAUGGAUAAUAUUAGUUUUCUACAAUAUUGUUUCCUCUGAGACAAUUUGACCUGGUUCAUGUCUGUAUAGUUUUUGGUGCAAAGAUCCCUGUGACGGCCUUCAUAAAUCUAACUUCAACAAUAGUAUGAUUGCUUAUGAAAACAAUUCCAUUAUGUGUUGGCAGUUUCUACACAUUCUCAAAAAUGAUUGAAGUGAAAGAAAUUGUUGUAGUCUGCGAUCCAUCCUACCAAGACAUUUUUGAAGGUUCCAGAUCUCUCUUUCUCUUGUUUCCUUUCUUUUGUGUGAGCUCAUCCCCAUAUGUGCAGGUACAUAUAUAUGCGCACACUUGUUGGUGUACGCAUGUGCUUGUGUGAUUGGCUUCCUUUACAUGACAUGCAUUCUGCUUUGGUGUUCUUAAACCUUUUUAUUUUAAGAAAUUUAGACUAAUUUAUGAUCUUUUCAGAUGCCAAAGAAAAUAUCAAUGUGGACCUCAAAUUCGCACUGCCUGGGAAGGAAAGACAGGAUUCUGUCUACAGUGGCCUUCAGGAAGUUGAUUUGAACUCUGAGCUUGUUUGUGUCCAUGACUCAGCUAGACCUCUGGUGUCAUCUGCAGAUGUAAAAAAGGUUUCGAUUGGAAUUAUUUUUUUUGCGUAUCUGGUGAUUUGGCUUCGGCUGUUUCUCUUAACUGUCUGUACAGCACAAGUUUAUAGAUAUUAUUAAGGGUCGUGUUAGUGCUGCAUUACAUUUUAAGUGAUGAAAGAAAGUAAUGUACAAAGUUUGCCUUAACGGCUUCAAAAUCACUCGCUGACCUAUAACUUUCAAGGGUAUAACAUUAGUUAUCCUGAUUUCAUAUGAAGCUUCCAUUUUUUUUCCCACCCUUUUCCAAGUUAAGGGGUCAUUACUUGCGGUUAGGUCAUUGAAGAUGCUUGGAUAAAUGGAGCAGCUGUGCUUGGUGUUCCUGCUAAAGCUACAAUUAAGGAGGCGAAUAGUGAAUCUUUUGUAGUGAGAACUCUUGACCGCAAAACACUUUGGGAAAUGCAAACCCCGCAGGUUUAUUGUUGGAAGAAUUUAUAUUAUUGAAAGGAAUUCGAAUACUUGAAUACCUGUUUAAGUUGGUUUUUUUUCUUUUGUAUAGGUGAUUAAGCCUGAUUUGCUUAAAAAAGGCUUUGAGCUUGUGAACAGAGAUGGUCUUGAAGUCACUGAUGAUGUCUCUAUCGUGGAACACCUUAAACAUCCUGUAUACAUUACCGAAGGAUCUUACACGAACAUCAAGGUCACGACUCCUGAUGAUUUGUUACUUGCUGAGAGAAUUUUGAACUUGAAUUCUGAAGAAUCUUCAAAGUAGGCUUGUAUUUGGUUUUUGCAUUCUAUUGUUGCUCCAUUCUAUAUCUUUCAGAAUGAAAAGACAAUAUUUUCUUCUCUAAUUUUAAAGAUUUUGCUGCAUUUGAGGUCUGAUAAAAAAAGACGAUAGCAGAUCUUGCAAUAAUAAUAUUCUAUUAGGCUCAUCUUCAAACCCAGAUGAAGAGUUUGUAAGCUGCACAGCCACCGCCAUAUUAUUUUAGGAGAAAAUGAGAUAAUGAUUUCUGCUGGUAUGAUUCUGUAUUAAAUGAUUGAAUCCAGAAAGAAUUUUGUAGAAAUUUUUAGUGAAUUAUGAGUCAAUUUUUCUUGCACAUGAACACAAUUAUCCAAUAUUCUCUAUGUAUCAAUUUUUAUUAUUUAUUGUAAUUAAUACUAUUGAAU